GGGAUUGUGCUUGGUCAGACCUGAAACCAGCAUAGCAUUGGGCCUUGCCUAAGGCUCUUCCUUUCAGGGAAAGAAGAGAGGUGACCCUUCUUCAACUCUGUAGGCAUGCCACAAAUUCCUGUAUGGACCCAUUCCCAUGGUCUAUGUAGAUCAAGAACUGUGUACGAGGAUGCAUGUAGAACCUCCAUGACAUGCUAGAGAGCUGGCACUACUAAGAUACUGCUGUUAGGGCAUGUUUAGUGGUGUUACCCAGGAAAUGUCAUCGUGUCUAUAUUUCUAUU